AGGCUGCAGUUAUUAUUUCGAACCUUUUGCACAGUGUGACCGGGCAGCUUGUGGCAGGGCCCGAACACCGGCCCAUGAUCUUUCACUGUCAGAUGCUCCAGCUUAGACCUCAUGGCCUGCUCCUCCUCCGACACCAUACGAGUGAUUCAACUUACAGCAGCCAUGGUUGCAGCGUCUCACAGCAGCUUCACCAACACUGUGAGGACAGAAGCAGAAUUGGCACAAACAGAACAUGAGAGCUAAGUCUUUCUUUCAGAGCUGUCCAGACGUUCAGUGAUCAGUCGAGGGGUCAUUUUAGCCAGAGAGCCGACUUACCUUCAGCAGACAGGAUGAGAGGAGUGGACAGAGUGGCUGGAGAGACAGCAGGAGGAGAGAGGACCAGGAGGGGAGGAGCUCCUGGAAACGUCACUCCAGGCAGGAUUACAAUGACACACUGGAUUACAAAGAGUGGCUAAUCUAUAUAAUGCAAACUGUGGAGGAGAGGCGUGUCGGUCUGGACUGUCAUGCUUGCGUUAAGGUGGUCCCCAGGGACCAAACACAGGACUUUUUGUGUCACUGUCUGAAACGGGAACCAUUAAAUCUGCAUCCUUUCAGACUGCCAACAGAGGACGACUCCACUGGAUGCAAGUCUGAUUGUAUAAAAGCAAGAUGCCGACGCCCACGAUGCCAAUUCUGGCUUCAAAAUGGUUGUCCGCAAAUCCACGGGUGACGUCACGUGUGGUGCCCUGUAAGCUUGUUGUUCCCCACUGAGACUGAACGUCGACCCAGCACAUGUGACAUGAAAGAAUAAAGCAUGUCAUCUCUGCAUGAAAAAGCAGACCCUGUGUUAGACCGGACAUCAUCUGAAUCCUAACUGAGGGGAGGAGAACACAGCGGAGUUGAGCUGAUAGAAGAGGUUAAUGAGCUGUAGCUGGGUCUCCCUCCUCCACACUGAGGCCUCUGUCAUCCAGAACUGGCAGACUUACUGUACUCGGCUAUUGUUCCUCCGUCAGCACCUCUCAUUAGUGGACGGUCAUGAAUAAACUUCUAUUCCCUCGCAGAGACAAACAGGGGUUAACAAAGCCUCCAUGUAUCACAUCAGACGGCGCUACACAAGUUUUUUUCUUUACAGUUUGUGUCUUUGAUGUAAAGGAAUGUAUGGCUGUUAUGUCAGCCUGCAGCCAACAAACAGGCAGCGAGCGCUGGACAACUCCAUGUACUGUUGGGGAGUUCAACGUACAGAUAUGCACCAUAUUCUAUAAGAUCAUUGUAGCGUUGCUGUCAUGCUGUGAGCUCAGAAUAACAGCUCGUUUUUAGCUUUGUGAUGAUGCAUUUCACAGCUAAUCCAAGAGGCGUUUCAACUUGUUUAAGUAGAAUUUUUGCAAAAACAUUAAGAACACUAAAUCUUUCAGUAUAUCACAAACACUGAAAUAAUCUAAAUCACUGUGUCUGGAGAUCUGUGGCAAAGUAUGAAGCUGCAUUAAGUCAAAUGUGUAAAUACCAAAUUUAGUUACAUUCCACCACUGCAUAGAUGUUACUAAUAACAAUAACUAAGGUCUAUGCGCUCCAGUUAGUCAUGAGAGUUUGAAAGUGAGUAAGCCUCAUUAUUUUUUAAUUAACAAUACCUGAGCUUUUCCUCCUGUCACAGGUCAAAAUGUCCUCUGAAUUAAAGAAAAAUAAAUCACAUCACUUAAUUACAUUCAGAAAACUAAUAUAUAAGUCCUCAAGUCCUGAAAAUGCUGUCCUCACUAAGAGAGUCUACUGACUGAGAGGAUCAACACCUCCACCUGGUGGCUCCAGACAAGUGCACCAUGUCUCCUACAAACCCACAUCAGAGACGUCUGCUGGAUAAAGGAAACACUCGGUGUCAGAUAAUAAUGUUGGUUAAUUUAAACUUUCGUUGGAUUAGAAUUAGAUGUGGGUGAAACUAAAAAAGCUGAUCUUAAAUGUUACACUAUUCUAACACUGGUCUCACCGGCUAACACACAUAAAACAUCAAUAUACUUUAACUAACAGCACAUUUAGUCUCUUAUCAUUACACACUGCAAGACAAGUAAGUAUAACAAACUUAGAUGAAGUAUAGUUUGUGUAUUUGUACUCAUGAUUUAUUUAUCUAAGGUGUUCUAAACUGAAGUUGGGCUAUUUUGAGGCCAUAUUUUUUUGUGAAGU